rnacentral:rRNA from 1 species
UACAGAGGUCCCGAGCGUUGUUCGGAUUCAUUGGGCGUAAAGGGUGCGUAGGCGGCGGGGCAAGUCUGAUGGGAAAUCCCGGGGCUCAACCCCGGAACUGCAUUGGAUACUGCCUUGCUAGAGUACUGGAGAGGGAACUGGAAUUUACGGUGUAGCAGUGAAAUGCGUAGAGAUCGUAAGGAAGGCCAGUGGCGAAGGCGAGUUCCUGGACAGUAACUGACGCUGAGGCACGAAGGCCAGUGGAGCAAACGGG